rnacentral:rRNA from 1 species
UACGUAGAGUGCGAGCGUUGUCCGGAAUUAUUGGGCGUAAAGAGCUCGUAGGCGGUGUGUCACGUCGGCCGUGAAAACCUGCAGCUUAACUGUGGGCGUGCGGUCGAUACGGGCAUCACUGGAGUUCGGCAGGGGAGACUGGAAUUCCUGGUGUAGCGGUGAAAUGCGCAGAUAUCAGGAGGAACACCGGUGGCGAAGGCGGUUCUCUGGGCAUGAUCUGACGCUGAGGAGCGAAAGUGUGGGGAGCGAACAGG